rnacentral:rRNA from 1 species
UACGUAGGGGGCAAGCGUUGUCCGGAUUUAUUGGGCGUAAAGAGCGUGUAGGCGGUUUGGUAGGUCCGCUGUGAAAACUCGAGGCUCAACCUCGAGACGCCGGUGGAAACCAUCAGACUAGAGUCCGGAAGAGGAGAGUGGAAUUCCUGGUGUAGCGGUGAAAUGCGUAGAUAUCAGGAGGAACACCGGUGGUGUAGACGGCUCUCUGGACCGUAACUGACGCUGAGACACGAAAGCGUGGGUAGCAAACAGG